rnacentral:RNase_P_RNA from 1 species
GCAGUAUGGUGGCUUGUCGCUCGUUAACAUCACAUGGUUGCGAGAGGAAAGUCCGGGCAACACAGAGCAUCACAUUUCUUAACGGGAAGCUGCGGGUGACCGUAGGGUUAAGGUGACAGAAAACAACCGCCGCAAUAGCGGUAAGGGUGAAAAGGUGGGGUAAAAGCCCACCGGGCGCUGUGGCGACACAGCGUG